AAUGUGAUCUGGGUUCUGAUAUUAUCUCUGCGCUCUGCAGUGUGCCAUGGGCACAUGAGGAAUGUCAGAAGUCAUAACCAUGCCUGAUGACAACAGUUUCCUUUGGCCUGGUGUGGUAUUGUAAAUUGUCGCUUUUAGACCAACUUUUUAGUGAUAGACCCUCUCUAUGCUUUUUGUUGUAAGCUACUGCAGAUUCUUGCCACAGGUAUGAAGUAAAUUCUGUUAAUAGCCUUGAUUUUUCACCUGUGCCACCAUAUAUAUCUUUGCCAUGGCCUCAUGAUGGAUGGAAUAUACUUCCCUGCCCCUUGACUUGAUACUUGACCAUGUAACUUUUUUGGAACAAUGAAAGAUGAUGGAAAUGUCAGUAUACCUGUGCUCAGGUAUACUGUGCUAGGUCUUAAGAAGCCUCCAGUGUUUCCAGCUAUACAUCUGCAAUCACCAUGAGAAGGACCUGCUCAAGCAAACCACUAGUCACAGGAGGAGAAUGAGAGACACAUGGAGCAGAGCUGCCCUCAGAGUCCACCUAGAUUAGUUGUCAGCAGACCUCCAGUGGACUUGUAGAAACACAAGCAAUAAUAAAAGGCUGUUGUUUUAAGC
rnacentral:lncRNA from 1 species